UACGGGGGGGGUAAGCGUUGCUCGGAAUCACUGGGCGUAAAGCGCACGUAGGCGGAUUCUUAAGUCAGGGGUGAAAUCCUGGAGCUCAACUCCAGAACUGCCUUUGAUACUGAGGGUCUUGAGUUCGGGAGAGGUGAGUGGAACUGCGAGUGUAGAGGUGAAAUUCGUAGAUAUUCGCAAGAACACCAGUGGCGAAGGCGGCUCACUGGCCCGAUACUGACGCUGAGGUGCGAAAGCGUGGGGAGCAAACAGG
rnacentral:rRNA from 1 species